UCUAUUUAGAUUCUUGCUACUCAGUUUGGUCCACUGAUUGGAAACAUCAGUAUCACCUGGGAGCUUGUUAGAACUGCAGUUUCAGACCCAGUCCUGGAUGCCCUGAAUCCAAAUCUGCCUUUAACCAGAGCUCAUGUGAAUGGUGAGCACACUUGCAUCUGUGAAGCAGAGCUUUAGAGCACACAGGAGGCCAUGCCCAGAAAGGAGCAUUUAAUGUGACUGAUCAUUUGCAGCUGAGUCAGGAUGCAAACCCUGGUCUGACUGAGAAUUCUACGUUCUUUCCAGUGAACCAGUGAAAACCUACAUUGUCAUGUCCACAGGGACCAUCUGGCAUCUGGCCCGGUCGUGGAAGGCAAGGCCUUACAGACAAGGCACCACCUGGGCAAGUAGGGCUCGGAGCUCUCGUCUCUCUCCCGACUCCUCGACCUGGACCUGGCCUCCCUCAGCUCCUAGGAAGUGAAUGGAAUUCCAGGGCUACCCCUGCGCGAAGGAGAACCUCGGGGACUGGGAUGGCCUUGACCCUGCUGAGCCCUGCUCCAUCCAGCCUGGACCAGUGGGUCCUCAUGGUCAUGAGUGCAACUCCCCCCAGCCCUCUGCAGCACACAAGGUGAGCAUCCUUCUGAAUCCUUCGGAGCCCCGAGGCCCAGGAAUCCCCUCUGGUCUCCAUGGAGCUCGACUGGCCUGCGGCAGCUGCUCGGACCACCCUUCUUCCCAUAUUCUCAAAUAACUUUUAGAAAAUGAAAAUGUCCUUUUUUUUUUUUUUCCUGAUUAAACACACCAUUAUGAACAACUUCAAAACAGAGAACAUGAAAGUGUUCCCUGAAACCCCCCCGAGUCUCCCUGUCAUUGCGUCAGUGUGUAUCCUUCUGGACUUGUUGCCACCUUGCAUGGACCUGUGCCCGGCUGGCCCACCUGGGAUUCCCAGGAGACUCCUAGGAACCAGCGUGAGUGAAGCCUUGGUCACGGCCGCUCACCCAGGAGCACCGGGGUUGCCCUGGGACUUGCCAUCUGCCUGCUCUUCACCUGCAGGACACAGGACUCACCAUGGCUCAUUUCAAUUUCUCUGAAGAAUGACAGCCCAGCAGCUUAAGGGACCCAUGGGACCUACAAAGUGAAUUGUGUCGGUCAGCCUGUUUUUUUUUUUUUUUUUUGGCUGCACCAGUGGCAGG